rnacentral:rRNA from 1 species
AGUUAAAAAGCUCGUAGUCGGAUUUCAGUAUUAGGCCCUUCUUCCAAUACGGUUGCUAGUGGUCUUUACUUCCUUAACAGAAUCUUUCAUUUUAUUAAUUUAAAGUGUUUGGGGCCUGUUUCUUUUACUUUGAGAAAAUUAGAGUGUUCAAAGCGGGUUUUCGCCUGGAUAUUACUCUUGGAAUAAUAAUAUAGGACUUUGGUUCUUUUUUGUUGGUGACUUAGAACCGAAGUAAUGAUUGAUAGGGACAGUUGGGGUCAUUCGUACUAUGAAGCGAGAGGUGAAAUUCAUGGACCUUUGUAUGACGAACUACUGCGAAAGCAUUUGACUAGGAUGUUCCCGUUGAUCAAGAACGAAAGUUGGGGGAUCGAAGACGAUCAGAUACCGUCGUAGUCUCAACCAUAAACUAUGCCAGCUAGGGAUUGGAGGAAGAUCAUUUUACGUCUCCUUCAGCACCUUAUGAGAAAUCAAAGCAUUUGGGUUCCGGGGGGAGUAUGGUCGCAAGGCUGAAACUUAAAGGAAUUGACGGGAGGGCACCACCAGGAGUGGAGCCUGCGGCUUAAUUUGAUUCAACACGGGAAAACUUACCAGGUCCGGACAUGGGAAGGAUUGACAGAU